CAACAAUAACUGGAAAAAUAUGUUUUGUUUGCCACAUUGUUUGUAACCAUGAACCUCUUCAUGGAUCUUAUAUUGUAGACCACAUGUGCUUAUGCUGACACAUUUUGACAAAGUGUACAGUGUUUCCAAUGGAAACAAUGUGAAUUUUAAUAUUCCAUCGAUUAAAUCAACGUGUGGUGUAUGUAGCCACAUGAUUUGUGCAGGACCUACUAACUGUGGAUAUAAUGCCUUUCUGUGACCACUAAAUGUGACCACUGGAGAUUAUCCAAUGAAGAGGAAAGCUGUCAGAGGGCACGCAUGCAAAUCCAGUGACGUGCAGUUUGACUGCAGGGUUAAGAAGAGAGAUGCAGUGGGGAUACAUCAGAACAACAAGAACUGCAAGAUGUAUGGGGGCUUCACAGGAAAGAGAAACAGUGAAAAAGAUUGCAAUUGAUUAUGAUACUCUUCAUUCAGCUGAGUUGAGAUGUGGUAUUAUACUCAUUGAAGACUUCAGAUGAAAUACUUGUAAACUGUAAUGUUAGAAUAAAGUGUUGUAUUGGGAGA
rnacentral:lncRNA from 1 species